GCCGGCGUAGCUCAGCUGGUUAGAGCAGCGGUUUUGUAAACCGCAGGUCGUCGGUUCGAAUCCGACCGCCGGCUCCA
rnacentral:tRNA from 2 species